AUGACACACUUCUUUGUCAAACCAUAUGCUAUGCUUGAUGACAACACUUGUUGGGUGAAUCACCUCUUGAAUGCUUGGUUUUGCUCUUACGACAACCACAUUUGUUUUUCCAAGUGCUUGUUAUCUUUGCUCCGUUUGAAGGAAUUACAAGACGGUGCGACAUUGGAGAGUGCCCAUUUGGAACUACAAGAUGACGAAUGCUUGGUGAUCGUCCACUUCUACACGACACCAUCAUCUCUUUCCCAUGGUGAUUUGGAUUUCGAUCCGAGGUCGGAUCUUUCCCAAGGGGGAGGGAAUGAUGCGGAGCAUCCUAUGGACAUCACCGUGUCAAGAGUUCGUUUGGCAAGUGACACGUGCAACAUCUACUUCACAUACAUAAAGGUGAAUCAUCUCCUUUACACGUGUUCACUUGACCCCUUCGAGGAUGGUAUACUACUUGAUAUUCCUUCUAUGUGCAUUCAUAGGUAUUGUCGGUGCUUCGAACAUAGCAAGGACGAGUUCAUGCGGAAGAGAACAUCUACACCAUCCAAGAGGGAGGCCUAG
rnacentral:rRNA from 1 species